CCUACGGGAGGCAGCAGUGAGGAAUAUUGGUCAAUGGGCGCGAGCCUGAACCAGCCAAGUAGCGUGAAGGAUGACUGCCCUACGGGUUGUAAACUUCUUUUAUAAAGGAAUAAAGUGCGGCAUGUAUGCCUUUUCGCAUGUACUUUAUGAAUAAGGAUCGGCUAACUCCGUGCCAGCAGCCGCGGUAAUACGGAGGAUCCGAGCGUUAUCCGGAUUUAUUGGGUUUAAAGGGAGCGUAGAUGGGUUGUUAAGUCAGUUGUGAAAGUUUGCGGCUCAACCGUAAAAUUGCAAUUGAUACUGGCAGUCUUGAGUACAGUAGAGGUAGGCGGAAUUCGUGGUGUAGCGGUGAAAUGCUUAGAUAUCACGAAGAACUCCGAUUGCGAAGGCAGCCUACUAGACUGCCACUGACACUGAUGCUCGAAAGUGUGGGUAUCAAACAGGAUUAGAUACCCUGGUAGUC
rnacentral:rRNA from 1 species